CUUCGAACAUCACCACAUACGUCACCAACACGCGCCUCGACCCAAGCUUCGAAAAAAAACUCGCUUAGAUCUUUGUACACGCUUUGAAGAUUCGGCACGCUCAGUACUUCACUACCUUCUACCAGUGGGUGGCAGUAAUUCGCCUUGGUAGCGUCUAAACUGCCUGAAAUAUAAAUAAGAAGAAGAAGGAGAAAGAGUGUGCAGUAAAGAGAGGGUGCUCUGUUGUUUUUCUGUAAGGAGAAACUAUGGCGGACAUGCAGAGGCUGAGGGAGCUGUUGAAACAGCGCAUGGCCACCAUGGCCGAUGAGAUCAUGGAUCUGUUCCAGACCACCAUCAGGGAGUUCGUCGAGGAGCGGUCUUCGCCUUCACCUGACUCGGGAGAAGAAGCGCUGUUCCCGCCACACAUGGCCCGGUCUCCGCAACAAUACACAGAGAUCCCAGAGCAGCCUUCCAUGGUCAAAUUGGAGAAGCAGGGGGUCUAUAGUCGUGAAGAAGAGCCUGUGCAAACACCCCCAAACACAAAGAUGUGUGUGAGUGAUAUAGUUGCUGUGAGUGCAGAGGAAACACAUGCCAACACACCCUGCACUACAAACGGUAACCAGGCUCUUCUUCCCUGUAUUAAAGAAGAGGAGGAGGAGGUGCGGUGUACCCCUGGAGAAGAGCUGUUUACACCAGAGGCCCUGCAGCUGUCAGUGUGCAAUCCAGUGACUCUUGGUAACUGGACUGGACAACUACAGGCUCCCAGUGAUUGUACUGGAAGAACAGAGACUCCCAGUGACUUUACUGUAAAAUCAGAGGCUCCCAGUGACUGGCCUGGAAUACCAGUGGCUCCCAGUGACUGGCCUGGAAUACCAGUGGCUCCAAGUGACUGUACUGGGACACCAGUGACUCCCAAUGACUUCACUGUAAAAUCAGAGGCUCCCAGUGACUGGACUGGGACACCAGUGGCUCCAACUGACUUAAAUGUGAAAUCAGAGCUUCCCAGUGAAUUUAUUGUGAAACCAGAGGCUCCCAGUGAAUGUAAUGGGCAGCUGGAGGUGUUGCAGCAGAGCCCCACCAAAGAGCAAACCCCAGAUGUGCAGCAGGAGCUGGUGGUCACAACCCUGCAUGAGAGGAAGGAAACCCCUCCACCACCACUGCUCCGACGGGAAGAUCUGCAAAGCAGCAGUGCCGACAACGGCAACGAGGAAGCAAACUCUCCUCCGGCUUUACAAUUUGAGAGUGACGCCACUCUGGACUCCUCCAACAGCGACAUGGAAGACAGCGAGGAUGACGUUAAGUACAAGUUUUGUAAGAUACCUUCUAAAAUACGGAGAAAGGUCCCCGGAGGACAAAAGACUCAAUCCAUGGCAGCAAAGAGGUCCGACAGGUCCCCAAACGUGACCUCUAAUUCCUCUGGGAGCGAUGACAACAAAGCAAAAAGGCCAUGCAAAAGACGUCGCACACUGAAGAAGUCUCAGAAACCCGAAGGAAAGCAGAAAGCGAGGCUCUCAAAAUCUGAGAAACGUUGUAAUAACGUGGAUGUGUUGGAAAAGCACAAGAGGAGCCAUUUCCCCACAUGAUUUUAGAAACCAUAGACUGUUAGUAAGGACACCGGUGUGUACACACACUGAUUAUUAACACUUCAUUUAAGUUUAUCUUGAAUUUUUUUUGAGUUCCUCUAAAGCAUUUAAAGGUUUUAUACUGUUUUUAUGAAUGUUAUGAAUUGUUCCAGUGUUUUUUAGUGUCCUAAAUAUUUUGAAAAACUAAUGUUUUAGAUUUGAAAAUCCUAAUAAAAUGUGUGAAGUUUAUUUUAAGGCA
ensembl:lncRNA acidic repeat-containing protein-like